AGUGGAGUUUAGACAGAUGUAAAAAGAUAAAUACGGUGUUGGUGCGCUGAGGAGGACGUAAGCGGUUUGAAUGACAGGCACAAAUGUCCGUGAAAGACAAUGAAUGUCACCCGAAUUCAUAUAUUUGACAGCUUGAUUCUCAAAGUCGGCCUUUUCUCCGUAAUGUUGAAUCUCUUCUUCUGUUGUUGGGACCCAGAAAGGGUCGCUGUUUACCACCUGUGUUAAUGAAUGAAUACAAAUUAUUAGCAAUUAAAAAAAACAUAUGUGCGCAAAAAAUGAUUGGCUUAUUAAAUAAAGUCAUUAUUUGAGACUC